UUAAUGUUGAUAUUAUUUCCAUCCAUAGCUACCACAAGAUACAUUGGAUAAACUAAAUUUAGGGAUGCAUUGUUCGGUAUGGAGGUUAAUGACUGAAUCACAGAUGUGACCAAGAUCUUAGAUUCAAAGAUAUGCAAAAUCAUGUUCAUUAAGAUGCAUGAAUGUUCUAUCCGAAUGAUUGAAACUUCGUAAUAAGAUGGAUGUGUGCAUCAAUCGAUGCAGACGCUGGGGAGAUCAUCUUUUUUAGUAAAUAAAUAAAUUAAGAUACACUAAUGUUCAAGUUUUAGAAGUUUAAAGUCACAAUCUUUUCUAACUGUCCAGAGCAGAGGAAGAGGGAACAAAAUUUACUGUUGUUGAUCUGCAACCAUUCAUAAACUUCUUUAGGAGGAACAAUCUGCAGACGGAAUUCUUUUCUAUUGGACCAAACCAAUGUAUGAUGGUUCUGUUGGUUCGGCUUCACAAGCAAUGGUGGCUGUUGAUCAGCUUGCAUGGCACUUCAACCGGAGAACACAUUAACUUGUGGUGUA